GGCUUUGUAGUUCAACGGAUAGAAUAGACGUUUCCUAAACGUUAGAUCCGGGUUCGAUUCCCGGCGAAGCCACCA
rnacentral:tRNA from 1 species